rnacentral:rRNA from 1 species
AUGAACGCUGGCGGCGUGCCUAAUACAUGCAAGUCGAGCGAACGGACGAGAAGCUUGCUUCUCUGAUGUUAGCGGCGGACGGGUGAGUAACACGUGGAUAACCUACCUAUAAGACUGGGAUAACUUCGGGAAACCGGAGCUAAUACCGGAUAAUAUUUUGAACCGCAUGGUUCAAAAGUGAAAGACGGUCUUGCUGUCACUUAUAGAUGGAUCCGCGCUGCAUUAGCUAGUUGGUAAGGUAACGGCUUACCAAGGCAACGAUGCAUAGCCGACCUGAGAGGGGGAGGGGAGAGCAGGGAAAUGGAGAGAGGGGGAGAACCGGACGGGGGGCAGGAGGAGGGAAUUUUACGGAAGUGGCAAAAGCCGAAAUAGGAAACGGCAGGGAAGUAAAGAAGUGUUACGGAUUGUAAAACCCUGGUAUGAGGGAAAAAAAAAAGUGAAGGUAACGGGGAACCAAGUGACGGGACCUAAUAAAAAAGCCACGCCUAACUAGGU